rnacentral:tRNA from 1 species
UGUUCUGUGGCUUGGUUGGUUAAAGCGCUGGUUUAGCGAAUUCGCAGUCGUGAGUUCAAUUCCCAUCAGAUCUU